GUCUACGGCCAUGCCACCCUGAACAAGCCUGAUUCUGUCUGAUCUCGGAAGCUAAGAAGGGUCAGGCCUGGUUAGUACUUGGAUGGGAGACCACCUAGGAAGACCAGGUGCUUGCUA
rnacentral:rRNA from 1 species